AUGGGCGCCGCUGUCAUUCCUCUCCUCGUCUCCGUACUACUCGUCGUGGCGGCGGCGCGUGCCCCGGCGGCGUCCGCGGCGCCGCGGGCAUUCUUCGUCUUCGGCGACUCCCUCGUCGACAACGGCAACAACAACUACCUCCUCACCACGGCGCGCGCCGACGCGCCGCCCUACGGCAUCGACUUCCCGUCGCACCGCGCCACGGGCCGCUUCUCCAACGGCCUCAACAUCCCCGACAUCAUCAGUAAUACUACUACAAUACACUCCAUGCCUCCAUUCGCCAUGCAUGCAUCUCAGUUUCAGAUAGGAAAAUGCUGCUCCGUUGAGCUCGAACUGGAGCACGGCAUGUCACGUACUGACGCCGUCGUUUCAGGUGAGCACCUCGGGGCGGAGCCUGCGCUGCCGUACCUGAGCCCGGAGCUCCGAGGGGCGAAGCUUCUCGUCGGCGCCAACUUCGCGUCGGCCGGCGUCGGGAUCCUCAACGACACGGGAGUGCAGUUUGUGAACAUAAUUAGGAUGGGGGAUCAGCUGCGUUACUUCGGGGAGUACCAGCGGAAGCUGAGGGCCUUCGCCGGCGAGGAGCAGGCGGCGAGGCUCGUCAGCGGUGCUCUCGUGCUCAUCACGCUGGGAGGCAACGACUUCGUCAACAACUACUACCUGGUGCCCAUGUCCAUGCGGUCUCGCCAGUACACGCUCCCCGACUACGUCCGCUUCAUCGUCUCCGAGUACAGGAAAAUCCUCGCGAGGCUGUACGAGCUGGGGGCGCGGCGCGUGAUCGUGACGGGCACGGGGCCGCUGGGGUGCGUGCCGGCGGAGCUGGCGCAGCACAGCAGCAACGGCGAGUGCGCGGCGGAGCUGAACCGCGCCGUGGACCUCUUCAACCCGCAGCUGGUGGACAUGGUGCGCGGCCUCAACCGCGACGCCGGCGCCGACGUCUUCGUCUCCGCCAACGCCUACCGCGCCAACUUCGACUACCUCGCCAACCCGCAGAGCUACGGGUUCACGAACGUGAAGGUGGCGUGCUGUGGGCAGGGGCCGUACAACGGGAUCGGGCUGUGCACGGCGGCGUCCAACGUGUGCGCCGACCGGGAGGUGUUCGCCUUCUGGGACGCCUUCCACCCCACCGAGCGGGCCAACCGCAUCAUCGUCGGCCAGUUCAUGCACGGGUCCACCGACUACAUGCACCCCAUGAACCUCAGCACCAUACUCGCCAUGGACCAGCUGCAGGAGGGUCCUCUUUAG
rnacentral:rRNA from 1 species